CUUAACAUGAAGACUCUCUUGGGGUUACUCAGUGCUGUACUGUCUCUACAAUGUGUCACUUCACAGAUCUCUAUGGUGGAGUCUGGUCCUGGGAUUGUGAGACCAUCAGAGACUCUGGACAUGACCUGUAAAGUGACUGGAGCCUCCCUGACUGACAGCACUAACAUGUAUUGUGUAGUAUGGAUCAGACAACCUGCAGGAAAAGGCCUGGAGUGGUUAGGAAUGAUAUGUUAUAAUAAUGACAUAUAUUAUGCUCAGUCUCUCCAGGGACGAAUAACUCUCUCAAGAGACACAAAUAAAGGAGAAGUUUAUUUCAAACUCACUGGAGUGAAACCUGAAGAAUCUGGGAAAUAUUAUUGUGCUAGAUACCCACAGUAUUCAGUGGAGCUGCAGGAGGUUCCCUUCUUGGUCGAAGAACUAUCCCGGGUGAUUAAGGACCUUCCAAGGAGCAAGAGCCCAGGCCAAGAAUGGCUACACGGCUAA